AUUGAACGCUGGCGGCAGGCCUAACACAUGCAAGUCGAACGGUAACAGGAAGCAGCUUGCUGCUUUGCUGACGAGUGGCGGACGGGUGAGUAAUGUCUGGGGAACUGCCUGAUGGAGGGGGAUAACUACUGGAAACGGUAGCUAAUACCGCAUAACGUCGCAAGACCAAAGAGGGGGACCUUAGGGCCUCUUGCCAUCGGAUGUGCCCAGAUGGGAUUAGCUAGUAGGUGGGGUAACGGCUCACCUAGGCGACGAUCCCUAGCUGGUCUGAGAGGAUGACCAGCCACACUGGAACUGAGACACGGUCCAGACUCCUACGGGAGGCAGCAGUGGGGAAUAUUGCACAAUGGGCGCAAGCCUGAUGCAGCCAUGCCGCGUGUAUGAAGAAGGCCUUCGGGUUGUAAAGUACUUUCAGCGGGGAGGAAGGGAGUAAAGUUAAUACCUUUGCUCAUUGACGUUACCCGCAGAAGAAGCACCGGCUAACUCCGUG
rnacentral:rRNA from 1 species